AUGGAGUUUCUUUUCCUUCGUUUUCUCUUUCAGAGAUUUCCUUAAAAAAAAAAAAGAAAAGAAUAGAAAGAUUGGAGAUUAGUAGGUCAAAGAUAUCGUAAGCCAUAUUAUGCUCUUCUCUCGUAUGCUUCGUUAUAUGCUGAUAUCUCUUGCAUCUUCCACAGAGAAGCAAUUCUUUAAUUCGGUAUAUCUGUUCCGUUCUUUAAAUUUGUGUUUAACGUCACGCCGAAUGUGGGGUUAUUGCAUAUUAUUUUUCCCAGGAAUUCUUAUCUCUGUCUCUGUAUUUGUGUUUCUGUAUAUCUUAGAAAAAGCCUGCCUUAGAAGAGCAAUUUUAAAAUUCAAUGUAUUGUUAGUCAAUUCCGUUUGUAUCAAAGCUGUCUCUCCAUUUGACGAUGGGAAUUCUAAGAAGUAGAAUCUCUUUUCUUCUUAAUUCUUGAAUUUGAAUACUACGCAAGCGAA
rnacentral:misc_RNA from 1 species